GACGAACGCUGGCGGCGUGCUUAACACAUGCAAGUCGAACGGAAAGGCCCUGCUUUUGUGGGGUGCUCGAGUGGCGAACGGGUGAGUAACACGUGAGUAACCUGCCCUUGACUUUGGGAUAACUUCAGGAAACUGGGGCUAAUACCGGAUAGGAGCUCCUGCUGCAUGGUGGGGGUUGGAAAGUUUCGGCGGUUGGGGAUGGACUCGCGGCUUAUCAGCUUGUUGGUGGGGUAGUGGCCUACCAAGGCUUUGACGCGUAGCCGGCCUGAGAGGGUGACCGGCCCCGUUGGGACGGAGAUACGGCACAGACUCAUACGGGACGCAGCAGUGGGGAAGAUUGUACAAUGGGAUGAAGGCUGCUGUAGCCACGCCGCGUGCGGGAUGACGGGCUGCGGGUUGGUAUCCGCUUUCGCCUGUGCCGAAGAGUGAGUGACGGUAAUGGGUAAAGAAGCACCGGCUAACUACGUG
rnacentral:rRNA from 1 species